AAACUCUGGAGAAUCCCACUUCAAGUGGGUGCCGAAGGUGCAAGGCUGCGCUGCAGCCGAAUCUCUCAGGCGAAAGGACAGAGCGGU
rnacentral:ncRNA from 1 species